GAUGAACGCUGGCGGCGUGCCUAAUACAUGCGAGUCGAGCGAACAGACGAGGAGCUUGCUCCUCUGACGUUAGCGGCGGACGGGUGAGUAACACGUGGAUAACCUACCUAUAAGACUGGGAUAACUUCGGGAAACCGGAGCUAAUACCGGAUAAUAUAUUGAACCGCAUGGUUCAAUAGUGAAAGACGAUUUUGCUGUCACUUAUAGAUGGAUCCGCGCCGCAUUAGCUAGUUGGUAAGGUAACGGCUUACCAAGGCAACGAUGCGUAGCCGACCUGAGAGGGUGAUCGGCCACACUGGAACUGAGACACGGUCCAGACUCCUACGGGAGGCAGCAGUAGGGAAUCUUCCGCAAUGGGCGAAAGCCUGACGGAGCAACGCCGCGUGAGUGAUGAAGGUCUUCGGAUCGUAAAACUCUGUUAUUAGGGAAGAACAAAUGUGUAAGUAACUAUGCACGUCUUGACGGUACCUAAUCAGAAAGCCACGGCUAACUACGUG
rnacentral:rRNA from 1 species